UACGGAAGGCAGCAGUGGGGAAUAUUGCACAAUGGGCGAAAGCCUGAUGCAGCUAUGCCGCGUGUAUGAAGAAGGCCUUCGGGUUGUAAAGUACUUUCAGUCGUGAGGAAGGUGUUAAGGUUAAUAACCUUAGCAAUUGACGUUAGCGACAGAAGAAGCACCGGCUAACUCCGUGCCAGCAGCCGCGGUAAUACGGAGGGUGCGAGCGUUAAUCGGAAUUACUGGGCGUAAAGGGCACGCAGGCGGUUAAUUAAGUUGGAUGUGAAAUCCCCGGGCUUAACCUGGGAAUGGCAUUCAAGACUGGUUAGCUAGAGUCUUGUAGAGGGGGGUAGAAUUCCAUGUGUAGCGGUGAAAUGCGUAGAGAUGUGGAGGAAUACCGGUGGCGAAGGCGGCCCCUGGGACAAAGACUGACGCUCAUGUGCGAAAGCGUGGGGAGCAAACAGGGAUUAGAUACC
rnacentral:rRNA from 1 species